rnacentral:rRNA from 1 species
AGAGUUUGAUCCUGGCUCAGAAGAACGCUGGCGGCGUGCCUAACACAUGCAAGUCGUAACAAGGUAACCAGGUUUGACAUCCACGGAACCUCUCCGAAACGAGAGGGUGCCCUUCGGGGAGCCGUGAGACAGGUGCUGCAUGGCUGUCGUCAGCUCGUGUCGUGAGAUGUUGGGUUAAGUCCCGC